rnacentral:rRNA from 1 species
CCUACGGGUGGCAGCAGUGAGGAAUAUUGGUCAAUGGACGAGAGUCUGAACCAGCCAAGUAGCGUGAAGGAUGACUGCCCUAUGGGUUGUAAACUUCUUUUAUAAAGGAAUAAAACGAGGCACGUGUGCCUUUUUGCAUGUACUUUAUGAAUAAGGAUCGGCUAACUCCGUGCCAGCAUCCGCGGUAAUAGGGAGGAUCCGAGCGUUCUCCGGAUUUAUUGGGUUAAAAGGUAGGUUAGAUGGGUUGUUAAGUCAGUGUGGAAAGUUUGCGGCUAAACCGUAAAAUUUCAUUUGGUACUGCAGUCUUGAGUACAGUUGAGGUAGGCGGAAUUCGUGGUGUAGCGGUGAAAUGCUUAGAUAUCACGAAGAACCCCGAUUGCGAAGGCAGCUUACUAAACUGUGACUGACAUUGAUGCUCGAAAGUGUGGGUAUCAAACAGGAUUAGAUACCCGGGUAGUC